CAUCAGAUUCUAAUCCUGAUGUCAUUCUUGUUAGUCUAUCUUGUUUGUCGGUUGCAUUCUGCGUUGGAAUUAAGGUCACAGUAUUUUGUGCUUUGUGGAUUCAUAAUGCAUUACGGGUAGUGUGGCACGUGUAAACUAGUGAGAUCUGCCAGUUCUAGAAGAAAAAUGACUGAAGCUAUUAGGAAAGGAAGAAGAGCCACCCUUGACAUUGAGAAGCUGGCCCGGGGCUCACAGCUGGACCGUGUGACUCUGCCAGGAGACAAAAACAAUUUCCCAGAAUACCAGCCUCACACAAGCCUGCCCUGAAACCAGAAGAAAAUGAGACAAAGCCAGACCACUUCAUGGUUUUGGCCAAGCACAGACAAAAACAGGUCACUGUGCCACCCACAAAAUGCCACACACUUCCUCUCUCUUAGACCAAAUGAGUGCCUGCUACUUCUUUACCAUAUACAGCUUUAUCCUCAUUCCAGUUUUCCCUUCCUGUAGAUGAGAUUCAUUAAGACCCUCAAUCACACAAUUGCCCCACUUUCCAACAGCACCCAAUCUGGAGGCCAUGUCUGCUUCCUUAGGCUCUCCCCCGGGUCACAUGACUGAAGCUUCCUUCUAACACUGUCUUACUAAGACCCAUGAUUUCCCAUGGCGUGUAUUCACCCUCCCUGCAACAAGUGAUAAGUUGAACUUGUUCAACUACAGGUGUGCUUCUGGUAGUCUUUGGCUGAAGCUUAUUGGCACUAUGCUUACACAUUCCAGUCCGGGUGUGCAUAUGGAGUUAUAAACAUCAUAUAUAUUUACAUAAAAUCAAGGUAGCAAGAAAUCUCAGGCAACUCAAACUCCAAAAUAUACUUUUGUGCCUGAACUAUCUGUAAAGAUAGGCUACCAUGAUCACAUGAAUCAGAUAAUUAGAUAAUUACAUAGUUUGCUGCAUGACAGAUGAAGCAAUUAUCAUACACUUCAGAAAAUUUUAAUAACUUGAUGUCUUCAUUACUCAUUUACUUUCAUAUAAUACUAAUAUUUCAACAGUACAAUGCUUUUGAGAUGUGUGUUUUUAAGCCAUGAAUUACCUAGCAAGUCAAUAAAUUGAGAAUAUUUCAAAUAUCGGCUACUUUUCAUUUAAAUAUUUAUGUUCAAAAGCAGGAUACAAACUUGUACAGAAAGUAUGGUCACAACUAAGAAGAAUAACAGAAAUAAAAGGCUGGUGGCUAAAAUCUAA